rnacentral:rRNA from 1 species
AAAACAUUUCUUUUUGAGUAUAAUAGUAAGUAGUCUCUGCCCAAUGAUAAUUAAAUGGCUGCAGUAUAUUAACUGUACAAAGGUAGCAUAAUCAAUUGUUCUUUAAUUGAGAUCUGGAAUGAAUGAGGUGAUGAAUUAAAAUCUUUAUUUAAUUUUUGUAUUUAAUUUAAAUUUAAAGUUAAAAUUCUUUAAUGAGUUUAUGGGACGAGAAGACCCUAUAGAAUUUAAUUGUUUUAAAUAAUAUUUAUUUAUAACUAAAAUUAUUUAAAAUAAUUUAUUUGGGAGGAAUAAUAAAUUUUUAAACUUUAUUAUAUAAAAAACAUAUAUAAUUGAAUUUAUUGAUUUUAAUUAUAAAUAUUAAAUUAAAUUACCUUAGGGAUAACAGCAUAAUAUUUUUGGAAAGAUCAUAUUUAUAAAAAUGUUU